CUCUUCUUCAUCCCAAAGGCUGGUCUUCUCUUCUUCAUGCCCAAUCUUGUUUGAUUUGAAGUUUAAAAGGUGAAGCGUUGGCUCGAGGCAAAGAGUUAGACGAGGAUUAGCUUGAGAGGAAGAGAAAUCAUCAAUUUAGUGAGUGGGAUUAUUAAGCAUGACCCUAUUAGAAAUUACCAAUAUUUAUAUGCUUAUAUACACUCUAUCUUUCUUAAUGAGAUUUUGUUGGGUUCAUGAUUUAUGAUAUGUUUAAGGCUUUGGAAAUGAGUUUAAAGUAAAUGUUUAUUGGUUUAUACUAGUUUUAUUGUUAAAGAUCUUGAAGGUUUUAUUCCUUAUUUAUAUUCAUGUUUGACUUGUAAUUGAGGCCCUUCAUGGAGUUUUUGAGAUCUUUGCACUUGUUUUUGAAAACGUUUUUGUGUUUCAAAGGGGUUGUUUUGUCAAAUUGGGCUUCCUUGGGAAAAUCUUGGUUUUUUUGUGAAAAAUAUAAGUUUGAAACUCAAUCUUGGGUUGUUGAAAGGUAAGAUUUUCCACGUUGUUUCUUGUGUUGGAUUUUGUAAAUUGAUUUGUGUUAAAAGCUUGAGUUUUGCUUGUGCUUUUAUCAUUUCCUUAAGGAAAUGGCUGAGAGAUUGUUGAUUGAUGGUUAUUGGUUGUUAUUGUACUCCGUGUGGAGCGUGUUUAUCGUUGAGUUUGUAUGGUGACCCUCCUGCAGUAUGUGGUCUCCACAGACACCCUGUUGAGGUGGUGUGGUAGACCGGUUGAUUACUACGAGGGCCAGUUCAGGUUGGAGUGUAGAGUCUUGACUUUGGAUAUUCAUCGAGUAGCCAUUGUCACCAGGCGAUGAGCUGAUGGGUCAACAUUAAGGGCAUGAGUACUUUGAUGGCUCUGAACCUAGUCGCGGCAGCGGUGAAGGUUUAGGGAGGUUUUUAAACUACUUUAUGUUGGGUGAGUGUUCGGGUGUUGCUUUAUGCUGGGUUUGAGAUUUAAUCCCAUUGUUUUUUUUUGUAGUGUCAUCUUGAAUUUGUGGUGAGUGGGCAAGGCCCAGCUGUCGCUCUUAUGAGGCAGUCUCUUGUAAAUUCGAUUUGACACUAGUAUUAUGUUUACUUAUUGUGGAACUCAUGUUAUUUACUUUAUUAUACUUAUAGUUGGGAACUAUUUUGUUUUA